UCAGACAUCAGAGAACAGUGAUCACCUGGACACAGGCUUAUGCUCCGUUGGUGUGAUACCUGAGAGCUGGCACUGAAAGCACUUGAGAGCUAACCACUGGCGUCCUUCAUGGCUGACGUUCACUGUGACUGGUGGCCAUGCUCACCAGGAACGGAGUAAUGCUACAAAUGACAUUUCUAUGACGGAAAUCCAAUUGAAACCCUGGAAACCUAAAUGGAGAAUUCCAACUCAAGUAAUUGGCCUUCGGACACAGGAAUACAGAUGAACUAUUCGGAUGGUAUAUGCAGUAUGAAUCUGCAGCAAAACACUUUAGAUGAAAGAAGCCAGGUAUUAAUUACUCGCAAGGCCUUUGCAGUCACCAACCGCUAGCUGUUUUGAUGCUUCGUGACCAUGGAAUGUUUCUGUCCUCACGCGCCUCAGGAACACAGCAUAAAAGCCCAUGCUGCAGCAGGCUCAGCAUCGUCUUUGCUUCCCUCCUUUUUCCUCCAGAACGAGCUUUGCCUCCCUCAGCGACAGAUGUCGUGCUGCAGACCCUGCGUCCCGUCCCCCUGCGGUGCCUCUGGCCCAACCCCACUGGCAAGCAGCUGCAGUGAGCCAUGUGUCGCCCGCUGCGCUGACUCGACUGGCCAUCCAGGCCUCCCCCGUGGUGGUGACCCUGCCGGGCCCCAUCCUCACCUCCUUCCCUCAGAGCACAGCUGUGGGAUCCUCUCUGUCAGCUGCUGUUGGCAGCUCCCUCAGCUCCGCGGGCGUUCCCAUCUCUUCUGGGGGCUCCCUUGGUCUGGGGGGCUCCGGGCUGUGUCUGCCUCGCCCACCCAGCACUUUCAUCUGCUGAAGCCGAUGGAUCAUCCCAUUUGGAGAACGCAUCCCAGAUAUGGAUGGAUCGUUCUCUCAACCUCCCAGAAAACUGAAAUCAAAUUUCUUCCUCUCUGUACUGAGCCACUUUAUUUUUUCCUUCUCAUUAAAGUCUUUUGCCACAUAGCUUGGGCAUAACUUGUGACUUCGUUUCCUCCUAACGCCGUUGGUCACCUGCUCUGAUAAGAAAAGCAGUGCCCACUGCCCUCAGCUUACCUCUUGUCACUGGAAACAGAGGAGGGAGUACCUGCUCUGUCCCCUGGCAGCGAGUCCAUCCCCAGAAAAGGGAAAGACAACAUGUCCUGCUGUGGCCACUCCAAGUCUCAACCACUCUGUGCUUCUGUGAUGUGUUCUAACAGGAGAGGCAGGAAGAGCAGGGAAUGGUUUGUGUGAAGGACAGAAGGCUCAGGGGGCAUCC
rnacentral:lncRNA from 1 species